UGGGGAAUAUUGCACAAUGGGCGCAAGACUGAUGCAGCAACGCCGCGUGAACGUUGAAUGUCUUCGGAUCGUAAAGUUCUGUUGCAGGGGAAGAUAAUGACGGUACCCUGUGAGGAAGCCCCGGCUAACUACGUGCCAGCAGCCGCGGUAAUACGUAGGGGGCUAGCGUUAUCCGGAUUUACUGGGCGUAAAGGGUGCGUAGGUGGUCUUUCAAGUCGGUGGUUAAAGGCUACGGCUCAACCGUAGUUAGCCUCCGAAACUGGAAGACUUGAGUGCAGGAGAGGAAAGUGGAAUUCCCAGGGUAGCGGUGAAAUGCGUAGAUAUUGGGAGGAACACCAGUAGCGAAGGCGGCUUUCUGGACUGCAACUGACACUGAGGCACGAAAGCGUGGGUAGCAAACAGG
rnacentral:rRNA from 1 species